UACGUAGGGUGCAAGCGUUAAUCGGAAUUACUGGGCGUAAAGCGUGCGCAGGCGGUUUUGUAAGUCUGACGUGAAAUCCCCGGGCUCAACCUGGGAAUUGCGUUGGAGACUGCAAGGCUAGAAUCUGGCAGAGGGGGGUAGAAUUCCACGUGUAGCAGUGAAAUGCGUAGAGAUGUGGAGGAACACCGAUGGCGAAGGCAGCCCCCUGGGUCAAGAUUGACGCUCAUGCACGAAAGCGUGGGGAGCAAACGAGGAUACG
rnacentral:rRNA from 1 species